GAUGAACGCUGGCGGCGUGCCUAAUACAUGCAAGUCGAGCGAACAGAUAAGGAGCUUGCUCCUUUGACGUUAGCGGCGGACGGGUGAGUAACAUGUGGAUAACCUACCUAUAAGACUGGGAUAACUUCGGGAAACCGGAGCUAAUACCGGAUAACAUAUUGAACCGCAUGGUUCAAUAGUGAAAGGCGGCUUUGCUGUCACUUAUAGAUGGAUCCGCGCCGUAUUAGCUAGUUGGUAAGGUAACGGCUUACCAAGGCAACGAUACGUAGCCGACCUGAGAGGGUGAUCGGCCACACUGGAACUGAGACACGGUCCAGACUCCUACGGGAGGCAGCAGUAGGGAAUCUUCCGCAAUGGGCGAAAGCCUGACGGAGCAACGCCGCGUGAGUGAUGAAGGUCUUCGGAUCGUAAAACUCUGUUAUCAGGGAAGAACAAAUGUGUAAGUAACUGUGCACAUCUUGACGGUACCUGAUCAGAAAGCCACGGCUAACUACGUG
rnacentral:rRNA from 1 species